rnacentral:ncRNA from 2 species
UCUCUUGCGCACCCGGACCGUCGCUGCGACAAGCGGGACAGGCGGUUAAGGGAACGCGGUCCAAAACCGCGGCUGUGCCCGCAACUGUAGGCGGCCAGGCCGUCGUCCGGUCCGGGAGCAAUCCCGGCGUCACUGAGCGGUU